AGGGAUGUAGCUCAAAGGUAGAGCGGCGGUCUCCAAAACCGUUCGUUGGGGGUUCAAGUCCCUCCGUCCCUG
rfam:Frankia sp. ETN1h contig_21, whole genome shotgun sequence.